ACCUCAAGUGGUCUAUCCUGAGUCUGACCUGCUCAGUCGGAAGAGGUGGAGACACAGCCAGAUUCUCAGUGAUCACUUCUGGAAGCAUUUCGUGCAUGAUUUUCUGCCUACUUUACAGACACGUCAGAAAUGGAAUCAAGAGAGAGAGAACAUUACAGUUGGAACUGUAGUCCUUAUAGCUGAUGAGCAAUUACCGAGAGCGCUCUGGCGAGUGGGUACUGUUUCCUCCAUCAUUCCUAGCUCUGAUGGUAGAGUUAGAACUGCUGUUGUUAAAGUGAAAGAUCAUACUUACACCCGACCAGUUGCUCGAUUGAUUAGAUUACCCGCUUUACCGCAGGGCUCAGAUGAUAUGCAGUAGUAGAUUUUACUACAGACAAAUUUGUCUACCAAAUUUGGGGGCGGCUGUAAAAAAGCCCAUGUUCAGUUUUUGUUCACUUAUUAUAAAGGCUGUGCAGCUGUCAUGUUGGUCAUUGAUUUGAAUAUGAGGGGGUGUGGUUUAAUCUGAGUUCGCGCGAAAGCAGAUCAUAUUUCUUCGGUUCGGAUCCUGAGGGAAAGUUUAGGUCCUGCAAUCUUACCUUUAAAGCAGUGAAAUAAGAUAGAUUAACAUCACUUUCUGCAGCGCCUUCACUUUGUGAACUGCAGAAUAGGAUAUUUGUGCUCUUGAUCGGCAGUGGACGAUAUUAAACUUUGCACUGAAGUUUCCAUGGUGACGAUUCCUGAAUGUGCGUCAUUGAAGAUUAACCACGUUUGAGAGUCAUACAUCAGCGAGAUAAAUAUUCAGUAACAUCUUAGAUUAUACACUGGAAUUUAUCGUCGCUGAGGAUUUACCAUACUUCAGGGCCUGAGACUGCAUCUCAACAUCAACGUCACAAAGCCUUUUGGACACUUUAAAGAACUGUAGAGACCACACGGACUGUUCCAAUCUUUGUUUCACUGCCUAAUCACAGGACCAACUGUCAUCUGUAUCCUUGAAUCUGUUGAAACAACUCAUUGUUUAUUUCUGUUUAUUAUUUUGUGUAGGCCUACGUUUUAUUUUCAUAUGUACAUUUUCUUUACAUUUGAAUACCUUUUGAUGGUGAAUAUGUACACAGUGUAUUUUAUUGUUCAACAAUAUUCAGAGUAAAAGGUACAAUUUAGUUCAA